UUAGAAAGCACACGUUUUCCUCUUUCCACUCACUCCACGUUGCCUAAACCGCGGUUUCCUCUUCCCGGCGGCGCUGGCACUGCGGCAGCUGAGGCGCGCUCCGCUCCCGGGAACCUCGGGCCUUGGCGCGCCAUUUUCCGUCGCGCAGUUAGUUGCCGGGGCGUCCUGAGACCUUUUGAUCGGGUCCCUUUCGUCUCUAGGCCCCUCGGCGAUCUCCGAUCAGACUCACCCACCAGAGCACCGCCACAAAGGUCCGGGGAAGAAACCUCUCACCUCCCUGGAGUCUCAGCUCAGCGUUUGGGAAGGAACCGUUUAAAAACCCAGACAACCCCCAUGAAGGACAAUCGCUUGGCUAAAACCCAAAAGUCGCAUUUGGUACCUGGAAGUCAAAAGGGCAACCUCAGGAUGGGAAAGGCCAAAGCCCAAAGCAACCACCGCGCAUUCCUCACACAGCCCCAGGCAGGUGGAUCAAUAUCAUUUUGGGGGGGGCGCUAUCUGAGAAAUUCGCAGGAACUGAAUUCGAUGAGCACAAGCUGCUUCCCGAGUCCUUAGGGAAGGGCAGGCACCAUCCACUUAGCGCCGGAGCCUGGCCAUUCUCGGGGCACUCCCCCUCCUCCUCCUGGCGGGGCCUCUGGGCUCCUGCCUGUUCCAGCAGCUCCUGUCCUGCCCGCUCCUGGGAGGAUGGAGGCCACCGGGCCACCCGUGGCUAGAAGGUGCUGUUUGGAGGCCCUGGAGAAGUUCUUCCCUCGCCUCUGCUUCCUCUGCUCCCUGGUGAC
rnacentral:lncRNA from 1 species